UACGGAGGGGGCUAGCGUUGUUCGGAAUUACUGGGCGUAAAGCGCACGUAGGCGGCUCGUUAAGUCGGGGGUGAAAUCCUGGAGCUCAACUCCAGAACUGCCCUCGAUACUGACGAGCUCGAGUCCGGGAGAGGUGAGUGGAACUGCGAGUGUAGAGGUGAAAUUCGUAGAUAUUCGCAAGAACACCAGUGGCGAAGGCGGCUCACUGGCCCGGUACUGACGCUGAGGUGCGAAAGCGUGGGAGCAACAGGGAUUAAGAA
rnacentral:rRNA from 1 species